rnacentral:rRNA from 1 species
CCUACGGGAGGCAGCAGUGGGGAAUAUUGGGCAAUGGGCGCAAGCCUGACCCAGCAACGCCGCGUGAGCGAUGAAGGUCUUCGGAUUGUAAACCUCUUUUCUCAGGGACGAAGAAAGUGACGGUACCCGCGGAAUAAGCCUCGGCUAACUACGUGCCAGCAGCCGCGGUAAUACGUAGGUGGCAAGCGUUAUCCGGAUUUACUGGGUGUAAAGGGUGCGUAGGUGGGGUGGCAAGUCAGAUGGGAAAUCUCCGGGCUCAACCCCGAGCCUGCUGUUGAAACUGUGUUUCUUGAGUGCUGGAGAGGCGAUCGGAAUUCCCGGUGUAGCGGUGAAAUGCGUAGAUAUACGGAAGAACACCAGUGGCGAAGGCGGAUUACUGGACAGUAACUGACGCUGAGGCACGAAAGCGUGGGGAGCAAACAGGAUUAGAUACCCGUGUAGUC